rnacentral:rRNA from 1 species
GAUGAACGCUGGCGGCGUGCCUAAUACAUGCAAGUCGAACGGAAAGACGAUGAGCUUGUGCCUCUCACGUUGGCGGCGGACGGGUGAGUAACGCGUGGAUCACCUACCUAUAUGUCUGGGAUAACUUCGGAAAACCGGCGAUAAUACCAGAGAAUAUAUUGAACCGCAGGGUUCAAUGGUGAAAGACGGCUUUGGUGUCUCUAAUAGCUGCUUCCGCGCCGGAUUAGCUAGUUGGUAAGGUAACGGCUUACCAAGGCUACGAUGCGUAGCCGACCUGAGAGGGUGAUCGGCCACACUGGAACUGAGACACGGUCCAGACUCCUACGGGAGGCAGCAGUAGGGAAUCUGCGGCAAUGGGCGAAAGCCUGACGCAGCAACGCCGCGUGAGUGAUGAAGGUCUUCGGAUCGUAAAGCUCUGUUAUUAGGGAAGAACAAAUGUGGAAGUAACCAUGGACGUCUUGACGGUACCUAAUCAGAAAGCCCCGGCUAACUACGUG